UUCCGGUUGAUCCCGCCGGACCUGACUGCUAUCGGAUUGAUACUAAGCCAUGUGAGUCUUUGUAGUAAUACAAGGCAUACGGCUCAGUAACACGUGGUCAACCUACCCUGUGGAUGAGAAUAAUCUCGGGAAACUGAGGAUAAUACUCAAUAGAUCAUAAUGCCUGGAAUGGUUUAUGGUUAAAAUGAUUCGUCGCCAUAGGAUGGGACUGCGGCCUAUCAGCUUGUUGGUGAGGUAAUGGCCCACCAAGGCGAUUACAGGUACGGGCUCUGAGAGGAGAAGCCCGGAGAUGGGUACUGAGACACGGACCCAGGCCCUAUGGGGCGCAGCAGGCGAGAAAACUUUGCAAUGUGCGAAAGCACGACAAGGUUAAUCCGAGUGAUUUCUGCUAAAGAAAUCUUUUGUUAGUCAUAAAACCACUGAUGAAUAAGGGGUGGGCAAGUUCUGGUGUCAGCCGCCGCGGUAAAACCAGCACCUCAAGUGGUCAGGAGGAUUAUUGGGCCUAAAGCAUCCGUAGCCUGCUUUGUUAGUUUUCGGUUAAAUCUAUGUGCUCAACGCAUAGGCUGCCGAAAAUACUGCAGAGCUAGGGAGUGGGAGAGGUAGACGGUACUCGGUAGGAAGGGGUAAAAUCCUUUGAUCUAUCGAUGACCACCUGUGGCGAAGGCGGUCUACCAGAACACGUUCGACGGUGAGGGAUGAAAGCUGGGGGAGCAAACCGGAUUAGAUACCCGGGUAGUCCCAGCCGUAAACGAUGCAGACUCGGUAAUGCAUUGGCAUAUAGCCAGUGCAGUGUCGCAGGGAAGCCGUUAAGUCUGCCGCCUGGGAAGUACGUACGCAAGUAUGAAACUUAAAGGAAUUGGCGGGGGAGCACCACAAGGGGUGAAGCCUGCGGUUCAAUUGGAUUCAACGCCGG
rnacentral:rRNA from 1 species